GCCUUCGUGGUGUAAUGGGUAGCACACUGAGCCGGUAUUUCAGAGGUCCGUGGUUCGAUCCCCGGCGAAGGCA
rnacentral:tRNA from 1 species